rnacentral:rRNA from 1 species
UCCCAGACUCCUACGGGAGGCAGCAGUGGGGAAUAUUGGACAAUGGGGGGAACCCUGAUCCAGCGACGCCGCGUGGGUGAAGAAGUAUUUCGGUAUGUAAAGCUCUAUCAGCAGGAACGAGACAAGACGGUACCUGACUAAGAAGCCCCGGCUAACUACGUGCCAGCAGCCGCGGUAAUACGUAGGGGGCAAGCGUUAUCCGGAAUCACUGGGUGUAAAGGGAGCGUAGACGGCUGAGCAAGCCUGAAGUGAAAGGCGGGGGCCCAACCCCCGGACUGCUUUGGGAACUGUACGGCUGGAGUGCAGGAGAGGUAAGUGGAAUUCCUAGUGUAGCGGUGAAAUGCGUAGAUAUUAGGAGGAACACCAGUGGCGAAGGCGGCUUACUGGACUGUAACUGACGUUGAGGCUCGAAAGCGUGGGGAGCAAACAGGAUUAGAUACCCCCGUA